rnacentral:rRNA from 1 species
UCACUACGGUGGCGAAGUAGCUCAUGCCCCGCUUCCAGGAAAAGCCUCUAAGCUCUAGAUUAUCAUUAAUCGUACCCCAAACCGACACAGGUGGUCAGGUAGAGAAUACUCAGGCGCUUGAGAGAACUCGGGUGAAGGAACUAGGCAAAAUGGUGCCGUAACUUCGGGAGAAGGCACGCUGGCGCUAGGUGAAGUCCCUCGCGGAUGGAGCUGAAGCCAGUCGCAGAUACCAGCUGGCUGCAACUGUUUAUUAAAAACACAGCACUGUGCAAACACGAAAGUGGACGUAUACGGUGUGACGCCUGCCCGGUGCUGGAAGGUUAAUUGAUGGGGUUAUCCGUAAGGAGAAGCUCUUGAUCGAAGCCCCAGUAAACGGCGGCCGUAACUAUAACGGUCCUAAGGUAGCGAAAUUCCUUGUCGGGUAAGUUCCGACCUGCACGAAUGGCGUAAUGAUGGCCAGGCUGUCUCCACCCGAGACUCAGUGAAAUUGAACUCGCUGUGAAGAUGCAGUGUACCCGCGGCAAGACGGAAAGACCCCGUGAACCUUUACUAUAGCUUGACACUGAACAUUGAGCCUUGAUGUGUAGGAUAGGUGGGAGGCUUUGAAGUGUGGACGCCAGUCUGCAUGGAGCCAACCUUGAAAUACCACCCUUUAAUGUUUGAUGUUCUAACGUGGCCCCAUAAUCUGGGGUGCGGACAGUGUCUGGUGGGUAGUUUGACUGGGGCGGUCUCCUCCCAAAGAGUAACGGAGGAGCACGAAGGUUGGCUAAGCAUGGUCGGACAUCAUGCGGUUAGUGCAAAGGCAUAAGCCAGCUUGACUGCGAGAGUGACGGCUCGAGCAGGUACGAAAGUAGGUCUUAGUGAUCCGGUGGUUCUGAAUGGAAGGGCCAUCGCUCAACGGAUAAAAGGUACUCCGGGGAUAACAGGCUGAUACCGCCCAAGAGUUCAUAUCGACGGCGGUGUUUGGCACCUCGAUGUCGGCUCAUCACAUCCUGGGGCUGAAGUAGGUCCCAAGGGUAUGGCUGUUCGCCAUUUAAAGUGGUACGCGAGCUGGGUUUAGAACGUCGUGAGACAGUUCGGUCCCUAUCUGCCGUGGGCGUUGGAAGAUUGAAAGGGGCUGCUCCUAGUACGAGAGGACCGGAGUGGACGCACCACUGGUGUUCGGGUUGUCAUGCCAAUGGCACUGCCCGGUAGCUAAGUGCGGAAGAGAUAACCGCUGAAAGCAUCUAAGCGGGAAACUUGCCUUGAGAUGAGUCUUCCCUGACUCUUUAAGGGUCCUAAAGGAACGUUUAAGACUAAGACGUUGAUAGGCUGGGUGUGUAAGCGUAGCGAUACGUUGAGCUAACCAGUACUAAUGAACCGUGAGGCUUAACCUG